CAUCAGCGUGCUCCGGGCGUC
rnacentral:sRNA from 1 species